AACGCACAUUGCGCCUUCUGGUAUUCCGGGAGGCAUGCCCGAUUGAGUGUUAUUUCUAUCUAUUCCAAGAAAUUGUGAAUGAGUUGUUGGAUGUAUUGAUUAUUUCAUACUCUGACCAAGAAUAUAACGAGCGACGUCUAGAUUUAUCUUCGUCAAUCAAAACACAAUAAACAACCUCAGUCGGGUAGGACUACGCGCUGAACUUAA
rnacentral:misc_RNA from 1 species